rnacentral:lncRNA from 1 species
GGCCCUUAUAACUUGCUAGCUGCUUCAUGAAUUUUUUCCCUCAGCUCCUCCACAUGCUCCAAUGAAGUCUACCUCUGAUCUCGGAGAUGUUAAAUCAUCUGAGUGAUUUCACUUGACAAUGUACCAGCCACAGCGAUCUCAGAUUCCAACUUCUCUAGCUCUUGAGGCUUCUUCUCAUUGCUGGCUCCUCUGAGUCUUUAAUAGCGCAAUACGAGCUUGGAGGUUUGUUACUUCAUCUUCAAUGACCCUUAUCUCUUCUGAGAGCAACAAGUCAUCCUUCUUGAAAUUGGCCUGAUGAGAAACAAGAGAUGCCAUCCUCUUCUCAUACUUCUUCAUGAGAGCAUGGUUCUUGGCCAAAGUUUCCUCAGAAGAAACCAGGCGUGCUUCAUAGGAUGUUUGUGCUUCAGACUCACAUUGAAAGGCUUCAGUUCCUCAACCCUCAAGGUUUUGCAACAGUCCCUCGAACUGGUCGAAGGUUUCUUUGUCAUAAUGUAUGGCCCUUAGAACUGCUGCACAAACCUUGGUAGCUUCUAUCUCUACCUUAAGAUUAGAUAGAUCACACUCUUUUAUCCCUUCGAGGCCUAAUUGUAGCAUUCUCCUCACAAGGAGUGUCUUAGCAUCUGGUGUAGAUAGAGGAGGAAUUGACAGAAAAACUGUAAUGAGAGGAGGAGCUUCAGUAGCUGGCUCUCUAACAAUAAGAGCUAAAGGCUCAUUGAGAGGAGCAG